AUGUCAAUUCUUUUCAACCGGUGUGUUUCUCUUCAAGUGGAUCCGAUCAUUUCAAAAACCGCAAGAUCAAGUAUCAGUUUUUCUCAACGGUGUUUGUUUCAUCCGUCCCCAAGUUGCCUUUGUUUUCCCGCCCACCCACCCUUUUUCUUCAAGGAAUCCGAUGUCAUAAUCAAGUAUCCUUUUAUUCAUGAGAAGUCUCUCCAUUCCUUUUUACGUCAAUGUUCUUAUCCGUUGUUACUCAGGAAGAUGCCAACGGAGCUUCAAGUUCGUCACCCUUCACUCAUUUUUCUUCUUCGGUGGUUUAAAUUCAAGCUUUUGGUGUUGAUCAUAUCCUUUUUCCUUGUUUCAAGUACCUUCUCUUAUCGGUGCUCCUCAUAUUCAUUCAUUUCUCGCUAUUCAAUUGUUCCGGAGUGCUCAAGAUAUCUCAGAAGAUUCGUUUCCAUUCUCAAUCCGUUCAAGCUUUUGCGAGGUUCUUAUCUUAUUCAAGCCAUUUAA
rnacentral:rRNA from 1 species